AGUGAACGCUGGCGGUAGGCCUAACACAUGCAAGUCGAACGGCAGCACAGUAAGAGCUUGCUCUUACGGGUGGCGAGUGGCGGACGGGUGAGGAAUACGUCGGAAUCUACUUUUUCGUGGGGGAUAACGUAGGGAAACUUACGCUAAUACCGCAUACGACCUACGGGUGAAAGCAGGGGAUCUUCGGACCUUGCGCGAUUGAAUGAGCCGAUGUCGGAUUAGCUAGUUGGCGGGGUAAAGGCCCACCAAGGCGACGAUCCGUAGCUGGUCUGAGAGGAUGAUCAGCCACACUGGAACUGAGACACGGUCCAGACUCCUACGGGAGGCAGCAGUGGGGAAUAUUGGACAAUGGGCGCAAGCCUGAUCCAGCCAUACCGCGUGGGUGAAGAAGGCCUUCGGGUUGUAAAGCCCUUUUGUUGGGAAAGAAAAGCAGCAGGUUAAUACCCCGCUGUUCUGACGGUACCCAAAGAAUAAGCACCGGAUAACUUCGUG
rnacentral:rRNA from 1 species